UCGGUAAUUCCAGCUCCAAUAGCGUAUAUUAAAGUUGUUGCAGUUAAAAAGCUCGUAGUUGGAUUUCUGACAGCGCAGACCUCCCUCUCCAAGCCCUCUGCUUUCCUUCCUUCUGGGGAGGUUUGUGGGGGGAGAUGGGUGGGAAACGACGCGGUGUCAUCCUCUCGGAGACGUCAUGUGCUCUUAAUUGGGUGUGUGAGCCGGAUCCGGGAUCUUUACUUUGAAAAAAUUAGAGUGUUCAAAGCAGGCCUUCGCUUGAAUACAUUAGCAUGGAAUAAUAGAAUAGGACUUUGGUUCUGUUUUGUUGGUUUAUAGGACCGAAGUAAUGAUUAAUAGGGAUAGUUGGGGGCAUUAGUAUUUAAUUGUCAGAGGUGAAAUUCUUGGAUUUAUGAAAGACUAACAUCUGCGAAAGCAUUCGCCAAGGAUGUUUUCAUUAAUCAAGAACGAAAGUUAGGGGAUCGAAGACGAUCAGAUACCGUCGUAGUCUUAACCAUAAACUAUGCCAACUAGGGAUCGGUGGGUUCAUUUUAUAGGCCCAUCGGCACCUUAUGGGAAACCAAAGUUUUUGGGUUCCGGGGGGAGUAUGGUCGCAAGGCUGAAACUUAAAGGAAAUGACGGAAGGGCACCACCAGGAGUGGAGCCUGCGGCUUAAUUUGACCCAACACGGGAAAACUCACCAGGUCCAGACAUAGGAAGGAUUGACAGAUUGAGAGCUCUUUCUUGAUUCUAUGGUUGGUGGUGCAUGGCCGUUCUUAGUUGGUGGAGUGAUUUGUCUGGUUAAUUCCGUUAACGAACGAGACCUUAACCUGCUAAAUAGAGUUGCGAUUCUCGAAUCGUAGACUACUUCUUAGAGGGACUAUCGGCGUUUAGUCGGUGGAAGUUUGAGGCAAUAACAGGUCUGUGAUGCCCUUAGAUGUUCUGGGCUGCACGCGCGCUACACUGACGAGAGCAACGAGUGUACCUGCUCUGGAAAGAGUGGGCAAUCUUUUGAAAUCUCGUCGUGAUGGGGAUAGAUCUUUGUAAUUAUCGAUCUUGAACGAGGAAUUCCUAGUAAGCGCGAUUCAUCAAAUCGCGUUGAUUACGUCCCUGCCCUUUGUACACACCGCCCGUCGCUACUACCGAUUGAAUGGUUUAGUGAGGCCUCGGGAUUGACAAAUGGGAGUUAGCAAUAACUCCCUAUUGUUCGAGAACUUGGUCAAACUUGAUCAUUUAGAGGAAGUAAAAGUCGUAACAAGGUAGCCGUA
rnacentral:rRNA from 1 species